rnacentral:rRNA from 1 species
UUACAUAUUUUUAAGAGCCAGAAAAGGAUGCCUUGGGUGAGAAAGCCGAUGAAAGACCUGGUUGGCUGGGAAAAGCCACGAUGAGACGCCAACAGUCGCUAUAGUCGUGGAUGUCUGAAUGGGGAAACCUAUCCUUCGGGAUGUCCCAUAUUUGGGUUCGGCAAGCUUGGGAAGUGAAAUAUCUCAGUACCAAGAAGAAAAGAAAUCGUAAGAGAUUCCGUUAGUAGUGACGAGCGAACGCGGAGGAGUCUAAACC